rnacentral:tRNA from 1 species
CCCCGAGUGGCGGAAUUGGUAGACGCACUGGACUUAAAAUCCAGCGGGCUUAAUCGCCCGUGCCGGUUCAAGUCCGGCCUCGGGGACCA